UUCGGCGACCAUGGCGAAGGGGAAACACCCAGCUCCAUUUCGAACCUGGAAGUUAAGCCCUUCAGCGCCGAUGGUACUGCCCGGGAAGCUGGGUGGGAGAGUAGGUCGCCGCCGAGA
rnacentral:rRNA from 1 species